rnacentral:rRNA from 1 species
CUACGGGCGGCUGCAGUGGGGAAUAUUGGACAAUGGACCAAAAGUCUGAUCCAGCAAUUCAGUGUGUUUGAUGAAGGCCUUCGGGUUGUAAAGAACUUUAAGUAGGGAAGAAGAAAGUGACGGUACCUACAGAAUAAGCGACGGCUAAAUACGUGCCAGCAGCCGCGGUAAUACGUAUGUCGCAAGCGUUAUCCGGAAUUAUUGGGCAUAAAGCGCGUCUAGGCGGUUUACUAAGUCUGAUGUGAAAAUGCGGGGCUCAACUCCGUAUUGCGUUGGAAACUGGUAGACUAGAGUAUUGGAGAGGUAGGCGGAACUACAAGUGUAGAGGUGAAAUUCGUAGAUAUUUGUAGGAAUGCCAAUGACGAAGGUAGCUUACUGGACAAAUACUGACGCUGAAGCGCGAAAGCUAGGGGAGCAAACAGGAUUAGAUACCCGCGUAGUC